UUCCGGGUGGCUCAGAUGGUAAAGAAUCUGCCUGCAAUGCAGGAGACCUGGGUUCAAUUCCUGGGUUGGGAA
rnacentral:tRNA from 1 species